CGUGGGUUCAAGUCCCAC
rnacentral:misc_RNA from 1 species